CCUCCAGUGUCCGGUUGCUGUCGGCCUGCGCGCGGCGCCAGGAAUACCACUCCUCCGAGGUCACUCCCGCGCGCACGCAGGCCGAGUUAGUGCUCAGGGACGUCCCGGGCUAAGGAGAGGAGAGGCUGCUCGGAUGAACCGCGGGUCCCGGCGCGCCUUCAGUUGGGAGAUGUGCGGUUUUCUUAGGAAAGGGGCCCGGGAACAAGGAAGGAUUUUAACGCCCUGACCUACAGGACUGAGGGCUGAAAUGAGAACUGGGCGUCGGGAAGCUAAGGUUUAUAGAAGAUGUGUAUCGCGGGCCCCUCUGCCAUAGGUCUGGGGACUUCAGACCGUCCUUGCUCUCAAGGAGCUUGGUAAACACACAAAACUACUGCCUCACGGGAUCCGGACAGCUACUUCAUGUAAUUAAUCUCUUACAGGAGAAAAGUGAAGCUCAGAAAGACUCAGCAUAGAUGUUGGGUUCCAACGUGACCUAAUACCUGGUCACCUUCCCAGCUACACAAGAUGUGGCAGCCCCGUCAGGAACUAUUGGAUAUGAACUGUGACUAGGCCAGCAGCAUCUCCACAUGCUUCAGUUUUUAUUAUCCCGAUGAUGCUGGUGCCCUUUGAGUAGUUUACCUCACUCUUGCAGAUUACAGAGUAAGCCACCAGCAGAAGCAAUAAAGACAUUACUGAGCCUU